rnacentral:rRNA from 1 species
UACGUAGGGACCAAGCGUUGUUCGGAUUUACUGGGCGUAAAGGGCGCGUAGGCGGCGAAUCAAGUCAGCUGUGAAAUCUCCGAGCUUAACUCGGAACGGUCAGCUGAUACUGUUUUGCUAGAGUGCAGAAAGGGCAACCGGAAUUCUUGGUGUAGCGGUGAAAUGCGUAGAUAUUGGGGAGGAACACCAGUGGCGAAGGCGGCUCACUGGACCGGUUCUGGACGCUGAGGCGGCGAAAAGCGUGGGGAGCAAACGGG